rnacentral:rRNA from 1 species
GAUGAACGCUGGCGGCGUGCUUAACACAUGCCAGUCGAACGAUGAAGCCCAGCUUGCUGGGUGGAUUAGUGGCGAACGGGUGAGUAACACGUGAGUAACCUGCCCUUAACUCUGGGAUAAGCCUGGGAAACUGGGUCUAAUACCGGAUAGGAGCGUCCACCGCAUGGUGGGUGUUGGAAAGAUUUAUCGGUUUUGGAUGGACUCGCGGCCUAUCAGCUUGUUGGUGAGGUAAUGGCUCACCAAGGCGACGACGGGUAGCCGGCCUGAGAGGGUGACCGGCCACACUGGGACUGAGACACGGCCCAGACUCCUACGGGAGGCAGCAGUGGGGAAUAUUGCACAAUGGGCGCAAGCCUGAUGCAGCGACGCCGCGUGCGGGAUGACGGCCUUCGGGUUGUAAACCUCUUUCAGUAGGGAAGAAGCGAAAGUGACGGUACCUGCAGAAGAAGCACCGGCUAACUACGUG